AACGAACGCUGGCGGCAGGCCUAACACAUGCAAGUCGAGCGAGCAUUUCGGUGCUAGCGGCGGACGGGUGAGUAACGCGUGGGAACGUGCCCUUUUCUGCGGAAUAGUCCUGGGAAACUGGGGGUAAUACCGCAUACGCCCUUUUGGGGAAAGAUUUAUCGGAGAAGGAUCGGCCCGCGUUGGAUUAGGUAGUUGGUGGGGUAAUGGCACACCAAGCCGACGAUCCAUAGCUGGUUUGAGAGGAUGAUCAGCCACACUGGGACUGAGACACGGCCCAGACUCCUACGGGAGGCAGCAGUGGGGAAUCUUAGACAAUGGGGGCAACCCUGAUCUAGCCAUGCCGCGUGAGUGAUGAAGGCCUUAGGGUUGUAAAGCUCUUUCAGCUGGGAAGAUAAUGACGGUACCAGCAGAAGAAGCCCCGGCUAACUCCGUG
rnacentral:rRNA from 1 species